CAGGUGUUAGAGAUAAUUGCAAGUACUAUGUAUUUGAGGAAAGUCCGGACUCCAUAGAGUGAAGAGGGCAGCUAAUGACUGCUGAGAGUAAUCUUAAGGAAAGUGCCGCAGAAAAUAAACCGCCAGAAAUGGUAAGGGUGAAAAGGUGGUGUAAGAGACCACCAGUAUUCUUUGUAAGAAGAGUAGCUUGGUAAACCCCCUCUGGAGCAAGACUAAAUAGAAAAGUAUUAUAGAACUGCUCGUUCUACUUUUGGGUAAGUCGCUUGAGGUAAUAAGCAAUUAUUAUCCUAGAUAAAUAAUUAUCAAAUACAAGAUCCGGCUUAUACUAACACCUUAUUA
rnacentral:RNase_P_RNA from 1 species